GAUGAACGCUAGCGGCAGGCCUAAUACAUGCAAGUCGAACGAGAUUAAGAGGCUUGCUUCUUAUGAAAGUGGCGCACGGGUGCGUAACGCGUAUGCAACCUACCUUAAUCAGGGGGAUAGCCCGAAGAAAUUCGGAUUAAGACCGCAUAAAAACACAGGAUAGCAUUAUCCAAUGUUCAAAUAUUUAUAGGAUUAAGAUGGGCAUGCGUGUCAUUAGCUAGUUGGCGGGGUAACGGCCCACCAAGGCGACGAUGACUAGGGGAUCUGAGAGGAUGACCCCCCACACUGGUACUGAGACACGGACCAGACUCCUACGGGAGGCAGCAGUAGGGAAUAUUGGUCAAUGGAGGGAACUCUGAACCAGCCAUGCCGCGUGCAGGAAGACAGCCCUCUGGGUCGUAAACUGCUUUUAUUCGGGAAUAAACCUUUCUACGUGUAGGAAGCUGAAUGUACCGAAGGAAUAAGGAUCGGCUAACUCCGUG
rnacentral:rRNA from 1 species